UAGGGAAUCUUCCACAAUGGACGAAAGUCUGAUGGAGCAACGCCGCGUGAGUGAUGAAGGGUUUCGGCUCGUAAAACUCUGUUGUUGGAGAAGAACAGGUGUGAGAGUAACUGUUCACAUCUUGACGGUAUCCAACCAGAAAGCCACGGCUAACUACGUGCCAGCAGCCGCGGUAAUACGUAGGUGGCAAGCGUUGUCCGGAUUUAUUGGGCGUAAAGCGAGCGCAGGCGGUUUCUUAGGUCUGAUGUGAAAGCCUUCGGCUUAACCGGAGAAGUGCAUCGGAAACCAGGAGACUUGAGUGCAGAAGAGGACAGUGGAACUCCAUGUGUAGCGGUGAAAUGCGUAGAUAUAUGGAAGAACACCAGUGGCGAAGGCGGCUGUCUGGUCUGUAACUGACGCUGAGGCUCGAAAGCAUGGGUAGCGAACAGGAUUAGAUACCCUGGUAGUCCAUGCCGUAAACGAUGAGUGCUAAGUG
rnacentral:rRNA from 1 species